ACGACCUUACUUGAACAGGAUCUGUUCUAUAGGCUUGUACCACUGAAUUCUUGAAUUCACAGAGAGUGAUUAACAACCAACCCAUGGCU
rnacentral:snoRNA from 1 species